GAUCAGUAUCCCGAUCGUUACUAUAAGAUUCAUUUCUGUAACUAUUAAGUAUGCAACCCGGUAUACGUUCACUCGCAUAGAGUGUAAUCUAAACUUGAGCCCAUUAUAAUUAUUUUGGUUGGUAGUAUGGUUAGUGAAUUUAACAUUUAUUCGUUGGCUCAUGGGUAAAUGACAAUUUCCGCCUGUUGACAGGACGGAAAGAAAGUGAAAGUUGAUGGUUACUUGAUCUUCGGUAGCCGUCUGCAAAUGAUGUGAUUUUCCAGCGACCGGUGUCUAGCCAUUUUAUUUUAUUUAGAAAAUAAUUAUUUAGUUGAAAAGGAAUGCAUUUAAGUUGGAAAGAAGUUUAUUUUAUGGUAUAAAUUAUGGUGAGAGUGCUGUUUUAGUUCCAAUAUCGGAGGAUUCUGGACAUUGGUCGCUGGAGAAUAGAAGAUUUAGUCAAACAGAAAUAAGAAUAAUUUUUGGGAAAGAGUGGGAAAUUUUGGGACAUAUUUGGAAGUUUUGAUUUUAUUGGAAUCUUUGUUUUUAUGGAAUUUAUUUUUGGAAUUCGCCGGUACUGAGAGGUAUCUCCAGUUGGUAACAAGGAUACACCUCCCUCCUAGGUUGAGGAACACCGCAAGCUACCUUCCUUGGGCCUCUGAUCAUUCCCUGGAAAGAGUUGGAGAACCCAUGGUCACUUGGUAGACCGGACAGGUUUUUAUAAGUCAAUUUGAUUGUAAUUUGUUUUAAUAAUAUUUGCACUUUUACCUAUUUUUUUUUUGUAUCAAUAACUUAAUAAUCCUAAUAAUAGUAUACCUUCAUUUUCUUAAACAUAAUUAAACUAAACAAUAAUUUUUCAAAAAUUUUAUAUUUCAAGGUUAGCUCAUUUAUUUUAAAAUAGUAGGGGGGAUUAUAAACUAUCUGUAAAGAUAGUGUGCACAUUAUCUCAGUUUGAAUCCUUAUCGAAACUUUGAUUUCAUUGUCAGGUAUUAUACUUACGUUUAUCACCUCCGAACAGAUACGAUAUUGUCAGCCAAUAUUGGCUUCUUCAUUACCAACAAAUUUGUACAUACAUUUUUACAUUAAUUAACUUUCAUAUAUAAAUCAUUCAUUACAUAUUUUUCCCUUAUUGUAAAAACCUGUGUUAUCAACAGGAGUGUCAUAGCUUAGUACGUCCGGUUUAGCUAGUGUAUAAAAAUUGUAUAUAGGGGUUAUAGGUUUGUUUCAUUAAAUUUGUUAGUUGUACCUAAA
rnacentral:lncRNA from 1 species